UCAACCGUCUUCUUGCUGACAGUUUGGUAUAUCUGAGUCAAAACUUCUGCAAAAGCAUUCUCUACAUUUGUGGCGUCUAAUGCAGAUGUCUCCAUGAAGUACAAUGACUCAGCCUCAGCAUAUUCCUUUCCAUCUUCAGUUGAAACAGCCACCAGAUGGCGGAGAUCGGAUUUGUUGCCUACUAGCAUGACAACAAUACUAGGGUCAGUGUGGUCUCUCAGCUCUUUUAGCCAGCGUGCCACAUUAUCGAAAGUAGCACGCCGAGUGACAUCAUAGACAAGCAGUGCACCUACUGCUCCUCUGUAAUAGGCACUUGUAAUAGCACGGUAUCUGCCAACAGAAGGAAAAUAUUAGGUAAUCAUAUAAUUAUGCACUAAAGAAAAUCAUAAAGAAGGAUCAGCUACUCCCACUCGGCUAGAGUAGGAGAGGAAGGGGGAGGCCGUACGUACCUCUCCUGGCCGGCGGUGUCCCAAAUCUGGGCCUUGACGACCUUGCCGUCGACCUGGAUGCUGCGGGUGGCGAACUCGACCCCGAUGGUGGACUUGGACUCGAGGCAGAACUCGUUCUUGGUGAAACGCGACAGCAGGUUG
rnacentral:sRNA from 1 species